GAACUAUAUACAGUCUAAUGCACAGUGAUUAAACAAUAAUAUAAUAAUGAUCAGAAUUAUACUUUGAUACAUUGCUUUCAUGUUUGCACAUGUAAAACUGAAAUCUCUCUCUUCAGCUUUGCUUUGCAACCUAGAUGAGCAGUUUGGCAUCUGGACCUUUCACAACAAUAUCCUGCCAUGUCGUCUCAUAUCCUACACCCUACUGCCAUUCACUCUGCCUGCUUCAACUGUCAUCUCAUUCAUCUAUAGAUUUUUGUGCUGGGUGAAGAAAAUCCCCCACCAGGCUCUGAAUGCAGGCAGGGAAUUCAAACAGGAAGUAAUCGCACAUCUGCGGUUAGUCUUUGCGCACUUGAGAGGACUUAUGCCGAACAGAUUCCUGCUUUCGCAAAUUCUACCUUUGGUCCCCAUGCUUUCUCUGUUUCUUGCACCCUGGUCCUGUUUCCCAUCUCUUCCUUCUACUUUGCUUCCCUGUUUCUCUUUUCCUUUACUUUCUCUUGCUUUGCGUUUCCUGCCACGCCGUCUCUCCACUUCAACCUCAAAGAAGCAGCCCGAGCGCAGGAGCCAGACUCAGACUCUCUGGUCUAGACGACGAUCUCUCCUCUGCUUCCAGCUCACCGGAUCCAGCAGUUUCUGCAAAAAGACAGAUAGCAUCCUUACAGAUGCAGAGGCACAAUCUUCAGCCUUCCUCUUGCAGCUCAACGUAGAGUUGGACAGCCAUCCUGAACCCCUACAGCAGGGCUGUCCAAACUCGGUCCUGGAGGGCCGGUGUCCUGCAGAGUUUAGCUCCAACCCUAAUUAAACACACCUGAACCAGCUAAUCAAGCUCUUACUAGGCAUACUAGAAACUUCCAGUCAGGUGUGUUGAGGCAAGUUGGAGCUAAUCUCUGCAGGACACCGGCCCUCCAGGACCGAGUUUGGACAGCCCUGCACUAGAUUGUGAGGGAAGUUUAUUACUAAACACAGAAGUAGAUGAGAAUCUCUCGUCUCCUUUUAUUUCUUACAUGGAUGUACAAGAGGAAGACUGAAUGACUGUGUUAUAUUGCAGACAAACGUCUCUGUACUGUAGAAUAGUAGAAUAUUUGGGCAAUACUCUGAAUAUGGCAAUGUAUACUGUACAUAUCAGUGUUGUUGUAAUAAUUACUUGAAAAUUGAAAUUGAGCUGAAAUAAAAUAUAAAUAUUAAAAAUGAGAAAUGUUGCUUUGGGAAUGAACUGAAAAUCAGUUGAAGCAU
rnacentral:lncRNA from 1 species